rnacentral:misc_RNA from 1 species
ACCUACUGUUUAAUUUUGAGGGUUCGUUUUUACGAAUACUCAAAAUUAGCACUUUUAGCAACAGAAUAAACUGAACGCAUGUGAAGUUUGUUUGUUGGCGCUGUGCUUUAGCACUUUAAGCAACGGAAUUUAUUCGUUGGCGUUGUGCGUUAGCACUUUGAAAACUGCAUAUAUAUUUAGUGAUAUGACAUCUAAUUUGUAAUAUAUAAAGCUGAUAACUUUUUAAAAUUAUCGAAGUUGAUAGCUUCUAAUCUAUCAAACCUUUUUAACUGGUCAA